AUUAAAAUCCCCACGUCUUCAAAUUAUCUUCUUGGUAUUCAAAAUAAGAAACCUUUUUUUUUUCUUUCAAAAUUUAGUUUUUCCAUUUUUUUUUUAAUUUUAUUCUGCACUUAUGCUAAUACAUAUUGAUAUUACUGAAUUAGUUCAAUCAAAUAUGACAAAGUAUGCCAUUUUAUUAGCAUUGGUAAGAAAGGAGGCAAAUAUGCAUGUGUUUAGCUCUGUUUCUAGCUAAAACCUUGUAUUCAGAGGCCUUUCACUUUUUUCUUCUAUUUAUUGUCAUUUUUGGAGUAAGACCUUGGAAGAAGAUAGAGCAAUAAAUAUCUCACAAGGGUUUCUAGCCAAUUUUCUUCACAUUUCAACGUGAAUUGAAUUGGAAGAGAAAGAAUAACUUACAAUCGUGGAUGAACUUCCUCAGGGGGUAUCAAGUGGACUUGGAGAAGGUGUUCGAAAAGCAGAUAAUUGUGCAUAGUUUCAGCUACAACUUUAGCUACCUACAUA